CAGUCGCCGCGGUAAUACGAGGGGGGCAAGCGUUGUCCGGAAUUAUUGGGCGUAAAGGGCUCGCAGGCGGUUUCUUAAGUCUGAUGUGAAAGCCCCCGGCUCAACCGGGGAGGGUCAUUGGAAACUGGGAAACUUGAGUGCAGAAGAGGAGAGUGGAAUUCCACGUGUAGCGGUGAAAUGCGUAGAGAUGUGGAGGAACACCAGUGGCGAAGGCGACUCUCUGGUCUGUAACUGACGCUGAGGAGCGAAAGCGUGGGGAGCGAACAGGAUUAGAUACCCCAGUAGUCCCUGUCUCUUAUAC
rnacentral:rRNA from 1 species